ACCAGCACCCCGAGUGGUCGGGACGAUUAUUGGGCCUAAAGCAUCCGUAGCUUGUCCUGCAAGUCUUCCGUUAAAUCCAGCUGCUUAACAGAUGGGCUGCGGAGGAUACUAUAAGACUAGGAGGCAGGAGAGGCAAGCGGUACUCAGUGGGUAGGGGUAAAAUCCGUUGAUCCAUUGAAGACCACCAGUGGCGAAGGCGGCUUGCCAGAAUGCGCUCGACGGUGAGGAAUGAAAGCUGGGGGAGCAAACCGGA
rnacentral:rRNA from 1 species